rnacentral:rRNA from 1 species
CUGGGCGUUAAGUUGCAGGGUAUAGACCCGAAACCCGGUGAUCUAGCCAUGGGCAGGUUGAAGGUUGGGUAACACUAACUGGAGGACCGAACCGACUAAUGUUGAAAAAUUAGCGGAUGACUUGUGGCUGGGGGUGAAAGGCCAAUCAAACCGGGAGAUAGCUGGUUCUCCCCGAAAGCUAUUUAGGUAGCGCCUCGUGAAUUCAUCUCCGGGGGUAGAGCACUGUUUCGGCAAGGGGGUCAUCCCGACUUACCAACCCGAUGCAAACUGCGAAUACCGGAGAAUGUUAUCACGGGAGACACACGGCGGGUGCUAACGUCCGUCGUGAAGAGGGAAACAACCCAGACCGCCAGCUAAGGUCCCAAAGUCAUGGUUAAGUGGGAAACGAUGUGGGAAGGCCCAGACAGCCAGGAUGUUGGCUUAGAAGCAGCCAUCAUUUAAAGAAAGCGUAAUAGCUCACUGGUCGAGUCGGCCUGCGCGGAAGAUGUAACGGGGCUAAACCAUGCACCGAAGCU